UUUUAAAUUUAGAGUUUGAUCCUGGCUCAGGACGAACGCUGGCGGCGUGCUUAACACAUGCAAGUCGAGCGAUGAAGCUUCCUUCGGGAAGUGGAUUAGCGGCGGACGGGUGAGUAACACGUGGGUAACCUGCCUCAAAGUGGGGGAUAGCCUUCCGAAAGGAAGAUUAAUACCGCAUAAUAUAAGAGAAUCGCAUGAUUUUUUUAUCAAAGAUUUAUUGCUUUGAGAUGGACCCGCGGCGCAUUAGCUAGUUGGUAAGGUAACGGCUUACCAAGGCAACGAUGCGUAGCCGACCUGAGAGGGUGAUCGGCCACAUUGGAACUGAGACACGGUCCAGACUCCUACGGGAGGCAGCAGUGGGGAAUAUUGCGCAAUGGGGGAAACCCUGACGCAGCAACGCCGCGUGGGUGAUGAAGGUCUUCGGAUUGUAAAGCCCUGUUUUCUAGGACGAUAAUGACGGUACUAGAGGAGGAAGCCACGGCUAACUACGUGCCAGCAGCCGCGGUAAUACGUAGGUGGCGAGCGUUGUCCGGAUUUACUGGGCGUAAAGGGUGCGUAGGCGGAUGUUUAAGUGGGAUGUGAAAUCCCCGGGCUUAACCUGGGGGCUGCAUUCCAAACUGGAUAUCUAGAGUGCAGGAGAGGAAAGCGGAAUUCCUAGUGUAGCGGUGAAAUGCGUAGAGAUUAGGAAGAACACCAGUGGCGAAGGCGGCUUUCUGGACUGUAACUGACGCUGAGGCACGAAAGCGUGGGUAGCAAACAGGAUUAGAUACCCUGGUAGUCCACGCCGUAAACGAUGGAUACUAGGUGUAGGGGGUAUCAACUCCCCCUGUGCCGCAGUUAACACAAUAAGUAUCCCGCCUGGGGAGUACGGUCGCAAGAUUAAAACUCAAAGGAAUUGACGGGGGCCCGCACAAGCAGCGGAGCAUGUGGUUUAAUUCGAAGCAACGCGAAGAACCUUACCUGGACUUGACAUCCCUUGCAUAGCCUAGAGAUAGGUGAAGCCCUUCGGGGCAAGGAGACAGGUGGUGCAUGGUUGUCGUCAGCUCGUGUCGUGAGAUGUUAGGUUAAGUCCUGCAACGAGCGCAACCCUUGUUAUUAGUUGCUACCAUUAAGUUGAGCACUCUAAUGAGACUGCCUGGGUAACCAGGAGGAAGGUGGGGAUGACGUCAAAUCAUCAUGCCCCUUAUGUCCAGGGCUACACACGUGCUACAAUGGUAGGUACAAUAAGACGCAAGACCGUGAGGUGGAGCAAAACUUAUAAAACCUAUCUCAGUUCGGAUUGUAGGCUGCAACUCGCCUACAUGAAGCUGGAGUUGCUAGUAAUCGCGAAUCAGAAUGUCGCGGUGAAUACGUUCCCGGGCCUUGUACACACCGCCCGUCACACCAUGAGAGCUGGUAACACCCGAAGUCCGUGAGGUAACCGUAAGGAACCAGCGGCCGAAGGUGGGAUUAGUGAUUGGGGUGAAGUCGUAACAAGGUAGCCGUAGGAGAACCUGCGGCUGGAUCACCUCCUUUCUA
rnacentral:rRNA from 1 species